CACGGGGGGAGCAAGCGUUGUUCGGAAUUACUGGGCGUAAAGGGUUCGUAGGUGGCCGAUUAAGUCAGACGUGAAAUCCCUCAGCUCAACUGGGGAACUGCGUCUGAUACUGGUUGGCUUGAGUGCAGGAGAGGAACGCGGAAUUCCAGGUGUAGCGGUGAAAUGCGUAGAUAUCUGGAGGAACACCGGUGGCGAAGGCGGCGUUCUGGACUGCAACUGACACUGAGGAACGAAAGCCAGGGGAGCAAACGGG
rnacentral:rRNA from 1 species